GAUGAACGCUGGCGGCGUGCCUAACACAUGCAAGUCGAGCGGAAAUUUGUGAAGUAGUAAUACGGAACGGAUUUUAGCGGCGGACGGGUGAGUAACACGUGAGUAAUCUGCCUUCUGCAGGGGAAUAACAUUGUGAAAACAGUGCUAAUACCGCAUGACAUCCGACUGGGGCAUCCCGGACGGAUCAAAGGAGAAAUCCGGCAGAAGAUGAACUCGCGUCCGAUUAGCUAGUUGGUGAGGUAAUGGCUCACCAAGGCGACGAUCGGUAGCCGAACUGAGAGGUUGAUCGGCCACAUUGGGACUGAGACACGGCCCAGACUCCUACGGGUGGCAG
rnacentral:rRNA from 1 species